UUCCUUUUUACCUUCAAUGGCUCGGACCAGGUCCCAAGGAAUGAAUGAAACCAAUGACAUGGAAGAGCUCGACGACACUACUUUAUCGUCUCCUCGCCGCCCUAACGCUUUCCAUUUUGGUGGAGGAGAAUUGCUGCCUGAGGAGAGGAAAGGGUCGAACAGGAAGAGGAAGAGAAGUAAGAGAGUUGAACUGGAUGGAUAUGAAGCGGCUGAUGAAGAGAACGCUAAUGGAGAUUCUCUUCGACAAGACCCUCUGGAGGUCCUUGGUUGGGACUUGAUGAUGAAGAUUCUCAGCAAUCUCGACGCACGCAGCGUGGCACUAUCUCUCCUUGUCUCUCGCGGGUGGCAUCGCGUUGCUUCUAGCGAUCGUCUGUGGAGCUCUAAGUGUGAGGAAUUGUGGCUUGGAAAAGCACACAUUCCGCGCUUGUCACAGGUCCGGGGAAUAUCCAAGUUGGCUGCUUAUUCAUUAUCUGUUAUCGAUGGCAAACGAACUCGUAUCAUGAGGGAUGAUCUGUGUGAUCAUGUUUGGGAAUUCCAUUUUACAAAGUUGGCUCCGGAAUAUUGGAGAAAUCUUGAUCCCUAUUGGAAAGGCACUGGCCCUCCCAUGCACCGCUACUUUCAUCAAGAUGGAAGCCAAACUGCUGAUCCUGGUGAUAGGGUAUGGGGUGGUCAUGAAUGCUGUUUUUCAGUUGUAACUAGUUUUGUUGGUGACGGGACAAUCAGGGAGCACUAUGUUAGGAUAAACCGAUGGCCCAGAAUGUCUGUGUCUAGGAAACAGGACUGGAGCUGGGAAAUGUCCAAUCACCUCUUCUGCUACUCCAGUAUUCCUGAUGCGUCCAAGGAAGGGGGGACUGGGCCACUCUUUUUGGUUAUGUAAGUAUCUUUCUUCCACUUGUAUAUUUCUCAGUUUAGGAUGUUCUCUGUGCUCCUCACGUGUAUGAAGUAAUGGGGGAUUGUGCACUUGUUCUUGUGUAUAUCUUUGUAGAGGAUGUAGUUAUAACUAAUCAUGCUCAAGGUUUGUAACUUGUGCAUGCUUUAC
rnacentral:misc_RNA from 1 species